CAGUUUUCCACCUUGAAGACCCUCCAACCUCAGAGGCCUGGGUUAGAUCUUGAGCAUCUGCACGUCUAAGGGGAUUCUUGGAGCUCCUUUUGGAUGAUGAAUGAUAUGUCACUCGUAUGUAGUUUUCUCAGCCUCCAGAAUAUACUGACUAGUCGUGGAGAUGCUGUAGGAAGAACGUGCCGGUAAGAGGCGUCGAUGGGGCAAGGACGCAGCAGGAGCCCUUCGUCGUGGCCAGGACGCAGACUGUAUGCGUAGGGGACCCGGCCCCGAGUGGUCGCAGGCCCGACGGAGGAGAGCCCCCAGCAAAAGCAAGACGGGCCGAUCCGCCCUAGGAUUCUGACGUUUAGACCCAACCCAGCAAACACGUCCUGGUCCGAUGGCUUCGGUCACCCCAGUGAACUCAGGACGGCUGAGGGCAGGCGAGCGGCCCCGGGACGGAUUCGAGCACAAGGUGUCUCCGCGUGUCAUUGUGCGUCCGGAGCCCGGGGCAGAGGGUCUCAGAGCAGCCGCUGAGCGUGGGGCUCCCUGGGGCCUGCUCUGGGCUCUGGGCUCGAGGUCCCCUCUGCCACCCCGGACCUCAG